rnacentral:tRNA from 1 species
GGUCGGGUGGCUGAUCGGAAGGCAAGAGUUUGCAAGACUCUUUACAAUGGUUCGAAUCCAUUCCCGACCU